UACGUAGGGUGCAAGCGUUGUUCGGAAUCAUUGGGCGUAAAGCGUACGUAGGCGGGUCGGUAAGUCAAGUGUGAAAUCCCUGAGCUUAACUCGGGAAUUGCAUUCGAUACUGCCGAUCUUGAAUGCUUGAGAGGGUGGUGGAAUUCCAGGUGUAGAAGUGAAAUUCGUAGAUAUCUGGAGGAACAUCCGAGGCGAAGGCGGCCACCUGGCAAGACAUUGACGCUGAGGUACGAAAGCGUGGGGAUCAAACAGG
rnacentral:rRNA from 1 species